rnacentral:misc_RNA from 1 species
CGAGCGUCAUUUAACCCCAUCCAGCCUCGCGCUUGGGUCUUGGGCCUUUCGCCUCUGGGCGGGCCUCAAAAUCAGUGGCGGCGCUUCUGGCUCUAAGCGUAGUAAUACUCCUCGCUAUAGGUGCUAGGUGGUGUCUUGCCAACCACCCCUAAUUUUCAAAGGUUGACCUCGGAUCAGGUAGGGAUACCCGCUGAACUUAA